CAUAGGCAUGGAGCGUACGCUGGCACAAUGCCGAGCGCACGCAGUCCUCUUUACCGAAAGAGACCACGCCAAUCAUGUCAUCCUCAACAAAACGCUCCAGUGCGUCUCGCAGGCCGGAUUUAACCCCAGCAGGCAAGUCACACUGCGUCACAUCACCAUUCACGAUAACGGUGACAUUCUCGCCUAAACGCGUC
rnacentral:antisense_RNA from 1 species